rfam:Homo sapiens chromosome 15, GRCh38 reference primary assembly.
GCCGGGCAUGGUGGUGCAUGCCUGUAUUCCCAGCUACUUUGGAGGCUGAGAUGGGAAGAUCACUUGAGCCCGGGAGGUCAAGGCUGCAGUGAGCUGAGUUCACGCCACUGCACUCCAGCCUGGUUGACAGAGUGAGACCCUGUCUCAA